rnacentral:rRNA from 1 species
UACGGGGGGGGCAAGCGUUGUUCGGAAUUACUGGGCGUAAAGGGCUCGUAGGCGGCCAACUAAGUCCGACGUGAGAUCCCAAGGCUUAACCUUGGAACUGCGUCGGAUACUGGAUGGCUUGAAUUCGGGAGAGGGAUGCAGAAUUCCAGGUGUAGCGGUGAAAUGCGUAGAUAUCUGGAGGAACACCGGUGGCGAAGGCGGCAUCCUGGACCGAUACUGACACUGAGGAGCGAAAGCCAGGGGAGCAAACGGG